rnacentral:rRNA from 1 species
GAUGAACGCUGGCGGCGCGCCUAACACAUGCAAGUCGAACGAUUAAAGCACCUUCGGGUGUGUAUAAAGUGGCGAACGGCUGAGUAACACGUGGGCAACCUGCCCCUUUCAUUGGGAUAGCCACGGGAAACCGUGGAUAAUACCGAAUACUUCGAGACUUCCGCAUGGAAGACUCGAGAAAGCUCCGGCGGAGAGGGAUGGGCCCGCGGCCUGUUAGCUUGUUGGUGGGGUAACGGCCUACCAAGGCAAUGAUGGGUAGCUGGGUUGAGAGACCGACCAGCCAGAUUGGGACUGAGACACGGCCCAGACUCCUACGGGAGGCAGCAGUGGGGAAUCUUGCACAAUGGGCGAAAGCCUGAUGCAGCGACGCCGCGUGCGGGAUGAAGGCCUUCGGGUUGUAAACCGCUUUCAGCAGGGACGAGGCGAAAGUGACGGUACCUGCAGAAGAAGCCCCGGAUAACUACGUG